rnacentral:misc_RNA from 1 species
AACGCACAUUGCGCCCCUUGGUAUUCCAUGGGGCAUGCCUGUUCGAGCGUCAUUUGUACCUUCAAGCUCUGCUUGGUGUUGGGUGUUUGUCUCGCCUCUGCGUGUAGACUCGCCUUAAAACAAUUGGCAGCCGGCGUAUUGAUUUCGGAGCGCAGUACAUCUCGCGCUUUGCACUCAUAACGACGACGUCCAAAAAGUACUUUUUACACUCUUGACCUCGGAUCAGGUAGGGAUACCCGCUGAACUUAA